GAUGAACGCUAGCGGCAGGCCUAAUACAUGCAAGUCGAACGGGAUUGAGGAGCUUGCUCCUCAUGAGAGUGGCGCACGGGUGCGUAACACGUAUGUAACCUACCUUAAUCAGGGGGAUAGCCUCUCGAAAGAGAGAUUAACACCGCAUAAAAUCACACUAUGGCAUCAUAGAAUGAUCAAAUAUUUAUAGGAUUAAGAUGGGCAUGCGGAACAUUAGCUAGUUGGUAAGGUAACGGCUUACCAAGGCUACGAUGUUUAGGGGAUCUGAGAGGAUGGCCCCCCACACUGGUACUGAGACACGGACCAGACUCCUACGGGAGGCAGCAGUAAGGAAUAUUGGUCAAUGGACGGAAGUCUGAACCAGCCAUGCCGCGUGCAGGAAGACGGCCCUACGGGUUGUAAACUGCUUUUGUACCGGAAUAAACCUCUUUACGUGUAAGGAGCUGAAUGUACGGUAAGAAUAAGGAUCGGCUAACUCCGUGCCAGCCGCCGCAGUAACAC
rnacentral:rRNA from 1 species